rnacentral:rRNA from 1 species
GACGAACGCUGGCGGCGUGCUUAACACAUGCAAGUCGAACGAAGUGGCGAACGGGUGAGUAAUACGUGGGUAACAUGCCCUACUUUUUGGGAUAAGCCUUGGAAACGGGGUCUAAUACCGAAUAAAGGGGGAUGGGCGCGCGGCCUCUCAGCUUGUUGGUGGGGUGUUGCCCUUCCAAGGCGGUGAAGGGUAGCCGGCCUUGGAGGGUGUCCGGCCACAUUGGGAAGGGGCUAAGGCCCAAACUCCUACGGGAGGAAGCCGUGGUGGAUAUUGCACAAUGGGUGAAAGCCUGAUGCAGGGACGCCGCGGGGUGGAUGAAAGCUUGCGGGUUGUAAACCUCUUUCGGUAUCGAACGGGUAGGGGGAGGAGAAGCGCCGGCGAACUACGUGCCGGGAGAGGCGGUAAUUC